GUGCUUGGGCGAGAGUAGUACUAGGAUGGGUGACCUCCUGGGAAGUCCUCGUGUUGUCACCC
rfam:Arabis alpina cultivar Pajares scaff_47773_1_contig_0, whole genome shotgun sequence.